CCGUCGAUUUUGAAACCAAACUUUGAUCUGCUUGGGCUCUAUGUUGGAGAGAAUAGGGCAUUCCCUGAUCAACUGUUGGCGGCGCAUAGAGCUUGGCUUAGGACAUUCAUGGUAGAGUCUCUCAAGCGCUUCCACCUGCUCCGGUGUGUACCUAACGUACUUGCCGUUGUCCAUUGCCAUCUUGCUUCCCCCAUCCUUGCAGGCCGAAGUUACCGCCAUCAUCACUUCGUUUCACGAAACACUGCGCAGAUCGGGUCGCCGCCCC
rnacentral:misc_RNA from 1 species